rnacentral:rRNA from 1 species
GACGAACGCUGGCGGCGUGCUUAACACAUGCAAGUCGAACGGAAAGGCCCUGCUUUUGUGGGGUGCUCGAGUGGCGAACGGGUGAGUAACACGUGAGUAACCUGCCCUUGACUUUGGGAUAACUUCAGGAAACUGGGGCUAAUACCGGAUAGGAGCUCCUGCUGCAUGGUGGGGGUUGGAAAGUUUCGGCGGUUGGGGAUGGACUCGCGGCUUAUCAGCUUGUUGGUGGGGUAGUGGCUUACCAAGGCUUUGACGGGUAGCCGGCCUGAGAGGGUGACCGGCCACAUUGGGUCUGAGAUACGGCAGAGACUCCUACGGGAGGCAGCAGUGGGGAAGAUUGCACCAUGGGCGGAAGCCUGAUGCAGCAACGCCGCGUGCGGGAUGACGGCCUUCGGGUUGUAAACCGCUUUCGCUUGUGACGAAGCGUGAGUGACGGUAAUGGGUAAAGAAGCACCGGCUAACUACGUG